UACGGAAGGCAGCAGUGGGGAAUAUUGCACAAUGGGCGCAAGCCUGAUGCAGCCAUGCCGCGUGUAUGAAAAAGGCCUUCGGGUUGUAAAGUACUUUCAGUCGUGAGGAAGGUGUUAAGGUUAAUAACCUUAGCAAUUGACGUUAGCGACAGAAGAAGCACCGGCUAACUCCGUGCCAGCAGCCGCGGUAAUACGGAGGGUGCGAGCGUUAAUCGGAAUUACUGGGCGUAAAGGGCACGCAGGCGGUUAAUUAAGUUGGAUGUGAAAUCCCCGGGCUUAACCUGGGAAUGGCAUUCAAGACUGGUUAGCUAGAGUCUUGUAGAGGGGGUAGAAUUCCAUGUGUAGCGGUGAAAUGCGUAGAGAUGUGGAGGAAUACCGGUGGCGAAGGCGGCCCCUGGGACAAAGGACUGACGCUCAUGUGCGAAAGCUGGGGA
rnacentral:rRNA from 1 species